UAAGGAAUAUUGGACAAUGGUCGGAAGACUGAUCCAGCCAUGCCGCGUGAAGGACGAAGGCGCUCAGCGUUGUAAACUUCUUUUGUACGGGAACAAAACCACCAAUGCGUUGGUGUCUGAGGGUACCGUAAGAAUAAGCACCGGCUAACUCCGUGCCAGCAGCCGCGGUAAUACGGAGGGUGCAAGCGUUAUCCGGAAUCACUGGGUUUAAAGGGUGCGUAGGCGGUUCGAUAAGUCAGUUGUGAAAUUCCCUCGCUUAACGAGUGGGACUGCGAUUGAUACUGUUGAACUUGAAUCAGGUUGAGGUAGGCGGAAUGUGACAUGUAGCGGUGAAAUGCAUAGAUAUGUCAUAGAACACCGAUUGCGAAGGCAGCUUGCUGGACCUGUAUUGACGCUGAGG
rnacentral:rRNA from 1 species